rfam:Gossypium raimondii Chr01_contig_709, whole genome shotgun sequence.
CACUGCCCGUCACACUAUAGGAGCUGGCCAUACCCGAAGUUGUUACCUUAACUGCAAGGAGGGGGAUGCCGAAGGAAGGGCUAGUGACUAGAGUGAAGUUGUAACAAGGUAGCCAUACUGGAAGGUACGAUCA